GAUCCUGCCGGACCUGACUGCUAUCGGAUUGAUACUAAGCCAUGCGAGUCAUUGUAGUAAUACAAGGCAGACGGCUCAGUAACGCGUAGCCAACCUACCCUAUGGACGGGAAUAACCUCGGGAAACUGAGAAUAAUGCCCGAUAGAACACUAUGCCUGGAAUGGUUUGUGUUCCAAAUGAUUUAUCGCCGUAGGAUGGGACUGCGGCCUAUCAGUUUGUUGGUGAGGUAAUGGCCCACCAAGACUAUUACAGGUACGGGCUCUGAGAGGAGUAGCCCGGAGAUGGGUACUGAGACACGGACCCAGGCCCUAUGGGGCGCAGCAGGCGAGAAAACUUUGCAAUGUGCGAAAGCACGACAAGGUUAAUCCGAGUGGUUUCUGCUAAAGGAACCUUUUGUCAGUCCUAGAAACACUGAUGAAUAAGGGGUGGGCAAGUUCUGGUGUCAGCCGCCGCGGUAAAACCAGCACCUCAAGUGGUCAGGAUGAUUAUUGGGCCUAAAGCAUCCGUAGCCUGCUUUGUUAGUUUUCGGUUAAAUCUGUACGCUCAACGUACAGGCUGCCGGGAAUACUGCAAAGCUAGGGAGUGGGAGAGGUAGACGGUACUCGGUAGGAAGGGGUAAAAUCCUUUGAUCUAUUGAUGACCACCUGUGGCGAAGGCGGUCUACCAGAACACGUCCGACGGUGAGGGAUGAAAGCUGGGGGAGCAAACCGGAUUAGAUACCCGGGUAGUCCCAGCCGUAAACCAUGCAAACUCAGUGAUGCAUUGGCUUGUGGCCAAUGCAGUGCUGCAGGGAAGCCGUUAAGUUUGCCGCCUGGGAAGUACGUACGCAAGUAUGAAACUUAAAGGAAUUGGCGGGGGAGCACCACAAGGGGUGAAGCCUGCGGUUCAAUUGGAGUCAACGCCGGG
rnacentral:rRNA from 1 species